GGGUCAGUAGGUUGGUCGUGCCACCGGUACGUACUGGUCUCACUGAUUCCUCCUUCCUGAAGAACCGUAAUGCCAUUAAUUUGGUGUUGCGGGGAAACAGGACUGUUACUUUGAAGAAAUUAGAGUGUUUAAAGCAAGCUAACGCUUGAAUACAUUAGCAUGGAAUAACGAAAUAGGACGAUCGAUCCUAUUUUGUUGGUUUCUAGGAUUGACGUA
rnacentral:rRNA from 1 species